CCUACGGGCUGCAGCAGUGGGGAAUAUUGGACAAUGGGCGCAAGCCUGAUCCAGCCAUGCCGCGUGAGUGAUGAAGGCCUUAGGGUUGUAAAGCUCUUUCACCGGAGAAGAUAAUGACGGUAUCCGGAGAAGAAGCCCCGGCUAACUUCGUGCCAGCAGCCGCGGUAAUACGAAGGGGGCUAGCGUUGUUCGGAAUUACUGGGCGUAAAGCGCACGUAGGCGGAUAUUUAAGUCAGGGGUGAAAUCCCAGAGCUCAACUCUGGAACUGCCUUUGAUACUGGGUAUCUUGAGUAUGGAAGAGGUAAGUGGAAUUCCGAGUGUAGAGGUGAAAUUCGUAGAUAUUCGGAGGAACACCAGUGGCGAAGGCGGCUUACUGGUCCAUUACUGACGCUGAGGUGCGAAAGCGUGGGGAGCAAACAGGAUUAGAUACCCGUGUAGUC
rnacentral:rRNA from 1 species